UUACCUGGUCCGGACAUCGAUAGGAUUGACAGACUCAUAGAUCUUUCAUGAUACGGUGGGUGGUGGUGCAUGGCCGUUCUUAGUUCGUGGAGCGAUCUGUCAGGUUUAUUCCGGUAACGAACGAGACCACUUUCUCCAUUUGACGAGCCGGAGAAGGCGUUGGUAUUGAGUAUUUUUGCUUGCAAAAGUUUCUGCUAUCAUUGUUGAAGGCAUCGUAUAGUUGCCAAGGGUGUAUUGGUUGAGGUGGCAACAUCAAGGCUGAUGCAUUUGAGGUAAUCUGUGCGCUCCCUCCGGCUUAGCAGUGCAUGUCUUGCAAGAGUCGUGUAUUGUAUCAUGGAGAGACAACGGAAAAUAUUUUAAAAAUCCGAGGAAGUGUGGCUAUAACAGGUCUGUGAUGCCCUUAGAUGUUCAGGGCUGCACGCGCGCUACAAU
rnacentral:rRNA from 1 species